GUGUCACGUGCGUGACUUUGUUUACAUUUAAUCUCGACCUACGCGGAGCGCGAGGAGACAUAUCCACUUUGUUUACUGCCAAUGGCAGUCAGGAAGGAAUGAAACAGAACUGCUUUUGGUAGAAGUGCUUGCCAGGCGUUGAAAUGCUACACCUGUAUGGGCUCCAACAAUGAUGACUGCAACCGACAAGGCUCCAAAUCCUGUCCCAGCUACUCUGAUGCCUGUGCAGUGGUGGUGGGCCAUGACAGUGGCGUGAUGAAGUCGUGUUCCUACAAAUCUUUCUGCAGCCAGGCGAGCAGCCAGGGCUACAGAGCACCCGGAGUCAGAGUUCACUGUUGCUACAGCGACGACUGCAACGUUAAAAGCUUCGCCUCGCCGCUGCCGGGACUCAGCUAUUGGUUGCUGUCUAUUUUGUUGCUUUUGCACUGACCUUUUUCACAGGACAACCAGAGAACCUAACCAUGCCAACAAGAAUCCAUUCACCAUACAAAUGCCAACAAAAUGCCAAAAACACUGCCUGUUUUCAGACUUGAUGACAUCCUACUUACCAUUUUACUUUGGUUACUGUAGUUCUCUGAGUGCAAGGCAUGAAAAGAAAAAUGCUGCAAGCUGCAAAGGGUGGAUUAAUGCUUUUGAACUGUAUCCUAUUAAAUAUGUCAAUUGGCUGCAUCUUUGAUUGUCUUUCAUUAGGUGCAAAUAGGCAUGGGCCUGUAUGAGACUCUCACAGUGUGCUAAUCUUGAGUAAAAAUAGGUUACCACAGUAUCAUGAAAUUUACACAAAACGUUUAAAGAAAAUGAUAUGAUCUAAUAGCUUUUACUUAAAAAGAAAAGCAACAACUAUUUGCUGUGUAAACAUACAGCUUUUUUGUUAGAUUCAUGUUAUAUAAUGUAUAUAUUAAAAGUAUUUACAGUUAGUAUGAUUUGGAUACAUUGACCUAAUUGAUUUAGAAUGAAGUGGGCCCCUGGACUAUGCCGCCAGUUUUGGUGCCAACUCCCCUCCCAAGUUUUGCAUGAAAACUACUACUAAUAGUAGUGUACACAUCAACUUCACAGAUUUAAGCUACUGUCCCCAUAUGAUGUUCCAAAGGAAUGUUUUUAUUUGUUUUUGUUUUUUUUCUGAAAGGUUCCUCAUAACAAAUCAUUUUUCAUAUGUCUUUAUUAUUGUUAAGUUAAGUUAAUCUUUAUUGUCCACAUGUUUUAUUUUAACCACCAUGCUUCACAUGGUGGUUAAAAGAAAACAUAAAAACAAGGUACAAAAGAAACAUUCAUACUGAAUGACAAAGCACACCAAGAUCAUAAACAUACAACUGGCACAAUAUCUAGAUAAUGGUCAACAGUUAAGCAACAUUAUUGCAGUUGGUUCUUAUAGAUGUUCUUGGUUGCUCUUACUGCUCUAAAUUUCCUUCCAGGGAGGAGCUUAAUAAAUUCCCCAAAUGGUACUAAAAGAACCCAGAAUCAUUGGGCCUUUAGAAAAAUGACCACUAAAGUACACAAAAACAAAGGUUUGGAGCAUGCCCUUAAAGCUUGUUGAUAGGUUAGAUGUGUUUGAGGUCCAGGGUUAGGUUCGAAGUGGGGCUUUAAAAUCAAUAUUUACAAGUAAAUAGUCCAAUCAAAUCCAACGAAGUAAAACAGCUCACAUUUAUGCUUGCUUUAACUUAAAAAAUAUAAUGCUUUCAAGACAUCUAUUUUUAAAAAAACAAUUGGUGGGUCUCUUAAAAACCUCAGUGCCCAAUUAUGUCUUUACUAAGGUUUUUGCUAAAAAUAUUUUUAAACAGACAAAUCUGUGUUUUUUUGUAAGUGAGGAAAAAGAAUAGUAGCCUUCUUUUAGCCAACUGUGAAGCAACAGGUGGGGGAGGGUCCAUGCUCUGUUACAGCCAGAGAAAACUGGUUAUUCUGCCAUUUUCUCUGGCAUCUCUUUAAAAGCACUAUGAACCAUAAAAACAGUAUGACUCUUGUUUGCAACCAUAAAUCCUUGAUAUACUGAUACCUGUAUUUGGCCCAUGCCUAUGUGCAAAUAAUUCUGCUUUUCCACUCUCCGCCUUGUUUUUUAAAAACUAUGAAACCCCUUUUAGAUUAGAUGCUUUACCACAUCUAAAUACCCCAGUAUUUGAGCACAGUUUACACUCAGACAAAUGUUCCUGUGUCUAAAAAUGGCACCUAGAAGUUUACUCAGCUGGCAUGUUUUUCUCUCAUUAGCUCCCUUCCUGAAAAUCACCAACCUGAGUCGUGUCAAAGCUCUUGGUAGGAAGUGAGAAAAAGCCUCUCACACACUGAGAAUCAGUGUAACCCUUUUACAUGUCCAGGUUUAUUACUCUGAAGAGGUUAAUUUACUGUGUUUUCAAAUUCCCUUAAGAAUUACUGACACUAUGAACAGAAUCUGGACACAAUCCUCUGCAGGACAACACAAUCGGAGAGGCUGUUUAGCAUCUGUAUGUAGCUAAGCGAGCCAAACGAGCUGGCAGCAUUUUCUGACUUCAGGGGUUCUUGUCUUGAUGUGCAUUAUAUAUUUUUUUAAGUAUGUGACUCUAUCUGUCUUUAUGCAUAUUUGGAUCUGUUAAUCUGAAAUAUGUAAAAUGUCAAUGUAACAUGUUGAUUGUUCACUGCUCUCUUUAGUCUCUGUUUAUUUUUAAUUGUGGAUAUUUCAAAUAUAACAGUAAAUAAUUAUAAGAAAAUAUAAA